CCAGGCGAGGAGCGGGGGCGGCUCGGGGCUGCGGCGGCCGCACCAGCCCUCGGUUCCUGCCCGGGUCCCGCGGAGACUUCGCUGGCCUGCUGCGACGCGGGCUAGAUCUCCGGGACCACAUGCUCCCCCAUUUCUCCCAGCCGCAGCUCUCAUCCACCCGGACCCCAGCAUCUUAGUCCUGCCACCCCCAGGCCCCCCUCGUUGAACUCGGCCGGUCCUUGUGCCUCUGCCUUUCCAGAACGGGCCCCUGUGCAGCCCCAGCACUCGCCCCGCCCGCCGCCGCUGGCCUAGGCUCUCCGGCCCGGCCCACCCACGUUCCCGGCCCGUCCUGCCGGUAAACCUUUUCCUCCUGGGGAAGUGCUUGCUCUUUCUAAGACUGGCCCUCCCUUUGACGGUUGGGUCAGAACUACUUCCGGCAACGAAGAAUGAAGAAUGACGCCUAGAAUGGCUCUAGUUAACAUUCCUCCGUUUUGCCACAAAGCUGGGAACUAGCCUCCCACGGGGGCUUCCAGGCCUGACCCAGGAUACCGCCUAUAUGUGAGAGACUCAACAAUCUCUCUCUCUCCAGUCCUGCUCUUUAUCACAAGCUCCAGGUUCGCAGGUCCCAGGGCAGCCUCCACACCUCUGCAUGGAGGUCAACUCAGACAUCAGACUUGACUUGCCCAAUACAAGAAAACCACAGACUGAACUCAGUUAUGAAUACUGAUGCAAGAAUGCUAAAAACAUGUGCUGACCCCAGAUGUAAAUCAAAUGAAUUCCGAGACACCCAAGGUCUCCCAAUCAAAGAAGGCCACCCUCAACCAUCCCCGCCGGCCUCCGAUGCCCGGUCUGCUCCACUCCAGCCCAGCUGGUCUCCUCCCUGUCCCUCAUGAAGGAAGAGAACAGAUUCCUCCUUCUUGGAUGCUGAAAAGGAAGACGAGCCGGACAGAAGCCUGGCAGUUUGGGGUUCCUGCUCUUUCUCAGCAAGGUCUGUGGAGAAGGAGCACAGAACUAGGAAGGGAACCAUCAGCUGCUCCCCAAAUUCUGCCUCUCUCCAUCCCCAGCUGGAAGCCAAUGGCCAAAGGAGGGAGGGGAGCCCGUCCCUGGUUUGCUCCAGAGGGGGGGUCCCUGCUGCCUCCCAGAGCCUCCCCAUUCCCCCUGUUACAGGAUGAGGGGUCAGAGACGGGUCCCCAAAGUGUUUGUAGGAGAAAGACUGUGACCACCCCGGCCAGUCCAAAGGCAAAGCAAGAAACCAGCUGUCAACCAAACAGGGUCAUAACAGUUUACAAGCCAGAGACGGUCACAGCAGAGUCCUGGCAAUUCCCAGUUUGCUGCCGCUGGGGUAGGUGCACACCCCAGGGGGGUGGAGGCCAGAGAGGGAUAGGACCAGCCCCCUGGACAGACUCCAGUCUCGGGGGAUGCAGCAGGGCUGCACCUGCACCCAGCAGGUAUUACCUGCUUCCUCCAUCCUGAUACACCUUAGGGAAUCAAUGACGCUGGGACAGGCCUCGGUUCUCCCCACCACAUCCCCUCUAUCUGGGACCCAAGUCUCUAGGUCUCCCUGCACAUGCAGCUGAGACCAGUGUGUGAGUUCCACAGGAUUAGAAAUACUUUCCAAUGCUUUCUCCAUUAUCCCCAUAACCUGACGAGGCAAGUCCUCCCAGACCUCUUUCUCUGCCAGCCUGUCCUGCCCUGCCCUCCACCUCUGUUUCCAAUUCAGUGAAUGUAUCCAGAAACCUGGCA